rnacentral:rRNA from 1 species
GAUGAACGCUAGCGGCAGGCCUAAUACAUGCAAGUCAAGGGGGCAGCAAUGUCACCGGCGGACGGGUGCGUAACGCGUACACAACAUACCUUUAAGCGGGGGAUAGCAUUGGGAAACUGGUGGUAAUACCCCAUAACAUUGCGAGGUGGCAUUACUUUGCAAUUAAAGUUACGGCGCUUAGAGAUUGGUGUGCGUCUGAUUAGCUAGUUGGGCGGGGUAAAGGCCCACCAAGGCGACGANCAGGUAGGGGGGUGUGAGAGCAUGACCCCCCCACAUGGGUACUGAGACACGGACCCAACUCCUACGGGAGGCAGCAGUAAGGAAUAUUGGACAAUGGACGGAAGUCUGAUCCAGCCAUGCCGCGU